rnacentral:rRNA from 1 species
GGUUAAGCGACUAAGCGUACACGGUGGAUGCCCUGGCAGUCAGAGGCGAUGAAGGACGUGCUAAUCUGCGAAAAGCGUCGGUAAGGUGAUAUGAACCGUUAUAGCCGGCGAUGUCCGAAUGGGGAAACCCAGUGCAAUUCGUUGCACUAUCGUUAACUGAAUACAUAGGUUAACGAGGCGAACCGGGGGAACUGAAACAUCUAAGUACCCCGAGGAAAAGAAAUCAACCGAGAUUCCCCCAGUAGCGGCGAGCGAACGGGGAGCAGCCCAGAGUCUGAAUCAGCUUGUGUGUUAGUGGAACGGUCUGGAAAGUCCGACGGUACAGGGUGAUAGUCCCGUACACCAAAAUGCACAGGUUGUGAACUCGAAGAGUAGGGCGGGACACGUGGUAUCCUGUCUGAAUAUGGGGGGACCAUCCUCCAAGGCUAAAUACUCCUGACUGACCGAUAGUGAACCAGUACCGUGAGGGAAAGGCGAAAAGAACCCCGGCGAGGGGAGUGAAAAAGAACCUGAAACCGUGUACGUACAAGCAGUGGGAGCACCUUCGGGUGUGACUGCGUACCUUUUGUAUAAUGGGUCAGCGACUUAUAUUCUGUAGCAAGGUUAACCGUAUAGGGGAGCCGCAGGGAAACCGAGUCUUAACUGGGCGUUAAGUUGCAGGGUAUAGACCCGAAACCCGGUGAUCUAGCCAUGGGCAGGUUGAAGGUUGGGUAACACUAACUGGAGGACCGAACCGACUAAUGUUGAAAAAUUAGCGGAUGACUUGUGGCUGGGGGUGAAAGGCCAAUCAAACCGGGAGAUAGCUGGUUCUCCCCGAAAGCUAUUUAGGUAGCGCCUCGUGAACUCAUCUUCGGGGGUAGAGCACUGUUUCGGCUAGGGGGUCAUCCCGACUUACCAACCCGAUGCAAACUACGAAUACCGAAGAAUGUUAUCACGGGAGACACACGGCGGGUGCUAACGUCCGUCGUGAAGAGGGAAACAACCCAGACCGCCAGCUAAGGUCCCAAAGUCAUGGUUAAGUGGGAAACGAUGUGGGAAGGCACAGACAGCCAGGAUGUUGGCUUAGAAGCAGCCAUCAUUUAAAGAAAGCGUAAUAGCUCACUGGUCGAGUCGGCCUGCGCGGAAGAUGUAACGGGGCUAAACCAUGCACCGAAGCUGCGGCAGCGACACUAUGUGUUGUUGGGUAGGGGAGCGUUCUGUAAGCCUGCGAAGGUGUGCUGUGAGGCAUGCUGGAGGUAUCAGAAGUGCGAAUGCUGACAUAAGUAACGAUAAAGCGGGUGAAAAGCCCGCUCGCCGGAAGACCAAGGGUUCCUGUCCAACGUUAAUCGGGGCAGGGUGAGUCGACCCCUAAGGCGAGGCCGAAAGGCGUAGUCGAUGGGAAACAGGUUAAUAUUCCUGUACUUGGUGUUACUGCGAAGGGGGGACGGAGAAGGCUAUGUUAGCCGGGCGACGGUUGUCCCGGUUUAAGCAUGUAGGCUGAUUGUCCAGGCAAAUCCGGAUAAUCAAGGCUGAGGUGUGAUGACGAGGCACUACGGUGCUGAAGUAACAAAUGCCCUGCUUCCAGGAAAAGCCUCUAAGCAUCAGGUAACAUCAAAUCGUACCCCAAACCGACACAGGUGGUCAGGUAGAGAAUACCAAGGCGCUUGAGAGAACUCGGGUGAAGGAACUAGGCAAAAUGGUGCCGUAACUUCGGGAGAAGGCACGCUGGUGUGUAGGUGAAGUCCCUGCGGAUGGAGCUGAGACCAGUCGAAGAUACCAGCUGGCUGCAACUGUUUAUUAAAAACACAGCACUGUGCAAACACGAAAGUGGACGUAUACGGUGUGACGCCUGCCCGGUGCCGGAAGGUUAAUUGAUGGGGUUAUCCGUAAGGAGAAGCUCUUGAUCGAAGCCCCGGUAAACGGCGGCCGUAACUAUAACGGUCCUAAGGUAGCGAAAUUCCUUGUCGGGUAAGUUCCGACCUGCACGAAUGGCGUAAUGAUGGCCAGGCUGUCUCCACCCGAGACUCAGUGAAAUUGAACUCGCUGUGAAGAUGCAGUGUACCCGCGGCAAGACGGAAAGACCCCGUGAACCUUUACUAUAGCUUGACACUGAACAUUGAGCCUUGAUGUGUAGGAUAGGUGGGAGGCUUUGAAGCGUGGACGCCAGUCUGCGUGGAGCCAACCUUGAAAUACCACCCUUUAAUGUUUGAUGUUCUAACGUUGGCCCCUGACCGGGGUUGCGGACAGUGUCUGGUGGGUAGUUUGACUGGGGCGGUCUCCUCCCAAAGCGUAACGGAGGAGCACGAAGGUUAGCUAAUCCUGGUCGGACAUCAGGAGGUUAGUGCAAUGGCAUAAGCUAGCUUGACUGCGAGCGUGACGGCGCGAGCAGGUGCGAAAGCAGGUCAUAGUGAUCCGGUGGUUCUGAAUGGAAGGGCCAUCGCUCAACGGAUAAAAGGUACUCCGGGGAUAACAGGCUGAUACCGCCCAAGAGUUCAUAUCGACGGCGGUGUUUGGCACCUCGAUGUCGGCUCAUCACAUCCUGGGGCUGAAGUAGGUCCCAAGGGUAUGGCUGUUCGCCAUUUAAAGUGGUACGCGAGCUGGGUUUAGAACGUCGUGAGACAGUUCGGUCCCUAUCUGCCGUGGGCGCUGGAGAAUUGAGGGGGGCUGCUCCUAGUACGAGAGGACCGGAGUGGACGCAUCACUGGUGUUCGGGUUGUCAUGCCAAUGGCACUGCCCGGUAGCUAAAUGCGGAAGAGAUAAGUGCUGAAAGCAUCUAAGCACGAAACUUGCCCCGAGAUGAGUUCUCCCUGAGACUUUAAGUCUCCUGAAGGAACGUUAAAGACGAUGACGUUGAUAGGCCGGGUGUGUAAGCGCAGCGAUGCGUUGAGCUAACCGGUACUAAUGAACCGUGAGGCUUAACCUU